GAUGAACGCUAGCUACAGGCUUAACACAUGCAAGUCGAGGGGAAACGAUAUUGGAAGCUUGCUUCCGAUAGGCGUCGACCGGCGCACGGGUGAGUAACGCGUAUCCAACCUGCCCAUCACUUGGGAAUAACCUUGCGAAAGUAAGACUAAUGCCCAAUGACAUUUAUAGAAGGCAUCUGAAAUGAAUUAAAGAUUUAUCGGUGAUGGAUGGGGAUGCGUCUGAUUAGCUUGUUGGCGGGGUAACGGCCCACCAAGGCGACGAUCAGUAGGGGUUCUGAGAGGAAGGUCCCCCACACUGGUACUGAGACACGGACCAGACUCCUACGGGAGGCAGCAGUGAGGAAUAUUGGUCAAAUGGGGCGGAAGCCUGAACCAGCCAAGUAGCGUGCAGGACGACGGCCCUAUGGGUUGUAAACUGCUUUUAUGCGGGGAUAAAGUGAGUCUCGUGAGACUUUUUGCAUGUACCUAUGAAUAAGGACCGGCUAAUUCCGUGCCAGCAG
rnacentral:rRNA from 1 species